rnacentral:misc_RNA from 1 species
AAAAUAAAUAGAAAAAAAAAAAAGAAAAAGUUAGUGACAUCAUCAAGGUGACAUCACUUAUGAGGUCACAAAUAAAAUUUAUUUAUUUGAUAAUUUGACUAAGUCAAUUAAGAGAUAAAUAUCUAAAAUAAAGAAACAAAAUUCAUUUUUCUUCUUCCUUCUUCAAGCUAGCCGAACCCCUCACUCUUCCUCCUCCAUGAAUUCCACCAUUAAAGAGUUAUUCAAUCUUGAAUAACUUAAUGUCCUUUCACUAAAAUUAACCCUAAACCCUAGAAAACUUCUAAAAUUCCAUAGAAAGGAAGAAUAGAGGAAAG